rnacentral:rRNA from 1 species
UAGGGAAUCUUCCACAAUGGACGAAAGUCUGAUGGAGCAACGCCGCGUGAGUGAAGAAGGUUUUCGGAUCGUAAAGCUCUGUUGUUGGUGAAGAAGGAUAGAGGCAGUAACUGGUCUUUAUUUGACGGUAAUCAACCAGAAAGUCACGGCUAACUACGUGUCAG